GUUGUAGUCGCUACGAGCGCACCCUUAUCCCUAGUUGCCAGCACACCAUGGUGGGAACUCUAGGUUUUACUGCCGGUGACAAACCGGAGGAAGGUGGGGAUGACCUCUGGUCAUCAUGGCCCUUACGGCCAGGGCUACACACGUGCUACAAUGGCGCGCACAGAGGGCUGCAAACCCGCGAGGGGGAGCUAAUCUCACAAAACGCGUCGUAGUCCGGAUCGCAGUCUGCAACUCGACUGCGUGAAGUCGGAAUCGCUAGUAAUCGCGAAUCAGAAUGUCGCGGUGAAUACGUUCCCGGGCCUUGUACACACCGCCCGUCACACCAUGGGAGUGGAUUGCACCACAAGUGGUUAGUCUAACCUUCGGGAGGACGAUCACCACGGUGUGGUUCAUGACUGGGGUGAAGUCGUAACAAGGUAGCCGUAGGGGAACCUGCGGCUGGAUCACCUCCUU
rnacentral:rRNA from 1 species